GUCAGGAUAGCUGAGCAGUCUAAGGCUCUGUGUUCAGAUUGCAGUCUUCAUUAGAGGUGUGGGUUUGAAUCCCACUUCUGACA
rnacentral:tRNA from 2 species